rnacentral:rRNA from 1 species
UACGUAGGGUGCAAGCGUUUAAUCGGAAUUACUGGGCGUAAAGCGCGCGUAGGCGGCUUUGUAAGUCAGAGGUGAAAGCCUGGAGCUCAACUCCAGAACUGCCUUUGAAACUACAUCGCUAGAAUCAUGGAGAGGUUAGUGGAAUUCCGAGUGUAGAGGUGAAAUUCGUAGAUAUUCGGAAGAACACCAGUGGCGAAGGCGACUAACUGGACAUGUAUUGACGCUGAGGUGCGAAAAGCGUGGGGAGCAAACAGG